GACGAACGCUGGCGGCGUGCCUAAUACAUGCAAGUCGAACGAGAGCAACCGGUGCUUGCACUGGUCAAUCUAGGGGCGAACGGGUGAGUAACACGUGGGUAACCUGCCCAUCAGAGGGGGAUAACAUCCGGAAACGGAUGCUAAAACCGCAGAGGUCUUCGAACCGCAUGGUUUGAAGAGGAAAAGAGGCGCAAGGUUCUGCUGAUGGAUGGACCCGCGGUGCAUUAGCUAGUUGGUGAGGUAACGGCUCACCAAGGCCGUGAUGCAUAGCCGACCUGAGAGGGUGAUCGGCCACAUUGGGACUUGGACACGGCCCAAACGCCUACGGGAGGCAGCAGUAGGGAAUCUUCCGCAAUGGACGCAAGUCUGACGGAGCAACGCCACGUGAGUGAAGAAGGUUUUCGGAUCGUAAUACUCUGUUGUUAGUGAAGAACAAGUGCUAGAGUAACUGUUGGCGCCUUGACGGUAUCUAACCAGAAAGCCACGGCUAACUACGUG
rnacentral:rRNA from 1 species